UCUUUCUAAUUCUCUUGGGAACCUACUCUCGAUUCCUUCCUUUCUUCAUCGACUCAACCACCGACUCAACCAGACCGAUCAUAUUCUCACAUUAGCUUCACCGUCUUUUUCUUCCAAUCAAGUUCUUCCAAAAUCUGGACAACGUCUCUUCCGCUAACGAUUUUCCGGUGGGUUCUUCUUCACGAUUCCUUGUCCACGUUGGACCGUGGGUUUAUUUGAUGUUGGGUUUGGGUUUUGGGAUGCUUGUCUUCUUCGAAAUUGUAAUUUGUGCGCUGUGCUUCACCAGCCAUUACUCCAACCUGCUCUUUACGUUUCUAGGGUGGGAUGCAGGUGUCAUGCCUACUAUCACAAACGUCGAUUGGCUUGAAGCAGCUUCCAAGUUGUGAAUUCGCACGGCCGGUGCAAUGAUUAUCCUUACCCUCACUGUAACUUGCCAGCCUCACACUAAAUCAGGUGCUGCAAGAAUCCUAUUCCGUUUAUAGUGGUUUUCUUUUUGCACUUGGUUGCCCUUUGUUUCAGUGCUGAAGAAGGAAGAGGGAGAAAUAAAAGCUAGGGAAGGUAGUGGUGAUAACAGGAAGUUUAAGCAUGGGAGAAAAAUUGGUAGUGGAUCUUUUUGACAGCUUAUGAGUAAUUCUUCAAAGAGGAGUAGAAUACAAACUUUAAAGUAUUUUUCAUCACAAAUAUGAAAAAUACAACAAUCACUUUUUUUUUCAUUGUGUACAAAUUUAUUACAUUUUUGAAACUCAAAAUUAAAUGAUUUAGGUCUUCAUGUUUGUUCUUUUGUAGUACUAGGUAGUCUCGCAGUCGCAGAGGGAGUGAUCACUAAUGUCGUUUAUUUCACAAUACAAGACUACUAGAUAGUCAUAGUUGAUAGACUCAAUUUCUCCUUUGAUCAGCUUUGGAAAAACAUGGUUUUUUUUACUUUGCGGGGUUUCUUCACUAUAUUGUUAAUUUUAGAUUAUUAUUUUAUAUAUACAUUGUUAAUCAUUUAUUGACGAAGUAUACUCCGACCCCGAUAAAGAAAAUUUUUAUUGGUC